UCCUACCACACAUAGAAACACCGGUUCUUGUAUGGCCACUGAAGUUAAGCAGUUUUGAACCUGGUCAGUACUGAAAUGUGUGACCACUUGGGAAUACCGGGUGCUGUAAG